GAUGAAGAACGUAGCGAAAUGCGAUACUUGGUGUGAAUUGCAGAAUCCCGUGAACCAUCGAGUCUUUGAACGCAAGUUGCGCCCGAAGCCAUUAGGCCGAGGGCACGCCUGCCUGGGCGUCACACGUCGUUGCCCCCCCAUCUACUCCUUCGGGAUUGCGGGGGGCGGAUGAUGGCCUCCCGUGCGCCUCGUCGCGCGGUUGGCAUAAAUACCAAGUCCUCGGCGACGCACGCCACGACAAUCGGUGGUUGCGAAACCUCGGUUGCCCGUCGUGUGCGGUCGUCGCGCAUCGAGGGCUCGAAAAAAUUGCCGGGCUCCGGCUCGGCUUUCAACGCGACCCCAGGUCAGGCGGGGUUACCCGCUGAAUUUAAGCUUAUCAAUAAGCGGAGG
rnacentral:misc_RNA from 1 species